UACAAAAUUAAUUUUUAUAACAUUAAAAUUUGAUGGUAGUAACCAGAAUUAUUUAGUACUAACGAAAUUGAAUUGGUGAAUUUAGUUAACCGAAAGGGGUAAUUAAUUUAGUGGGAAUAGUAUAUAGGUGUAGUACCUCUUGCAUAAGGGUCUAACAAGAAAAAAGUAUAUUAUUCUAUACUACCCCGAAGUCGGAAGAGCUACCAAAUUUGCCAGCUGAUUUUAGGCUACAGAGGUCAUAGUUGUAAUAUGUCUUAAGACUUUUUGGUAGAGGUGAAAUGCCUUUCGAAUUCGACGAUAUCUGGUUGGCUUAGAAAUAAAUUAAGUUUAGGGUUGAUGGAAAAUUUCAAUACUUAGUAUUCUCUGUAGAGCAGUGAAUAAUAUAAAAACGACGGAAGGAAUAAAUAAUUAUACCAAUUUUUAUGUAGGUCAAAAGCGGUCAUUCUAAUAAAAGAACGGAUUGGAAGCGCAAGUUUGGUUGAAUAGAAAAAUUUGUUUUUGAUUGGUCUUAAGGUCUAUGAGCUGGAGUAGCUGAACAAUAAGGCUAUUUUUAUAAUGUUUGAAUUAGUAGCUGAAGUUAUAGAUUUAAUAAGGAAAAGUAAAUAUAUAAAUGAAAAACUAAAUUAAGGAACUCGGCAAAAACUUCCUCCGACUGUUUAUCAAAAACAUAGCGUCUAGAAUAGGAUUAGAGGUGUUGUCUGCCCGGUGGAAACCCUAAACGGCGGCCUUAGCGUGAUGGUCUUAAGGUAGCAUGUAAGUUCCUGAGUAAUUUUCUGGUGGUAUGAAUGGGAGUACGAGGGGAAAACUGUCUUGAUUUAGUUACAGUGAAUUUACCUUGGAGGUGAAAAGGCCUUCAUAUAAUAAAUAGACGAUAAGACCCCAUGAAAUUUUAAUCUUUGCUAUGAGUUUGAUUUUUUGUUAUUGGCUAAUUUGUUUGGAUUUUGGUUGGGGCAACUCGGGAGCAAACAAACCUCCUGGAAUAAAAUUAUAAACCAACAAGUGUUGAACCUCCUUCAUGCGUGGUUAUCGGAAAAAAUUACUCUGGGGAUAACAGCGUUAUCUUCCCGGAGAGGGCGUAUUGGUGGGAAGGAUUACGACCUCGAUGUUGAAUGUGGCUAUCCUUAGGGCUUGUAAGGGGCAUAAAGGGUUCGGACUGUUCGUCCAUUAAAAGCCAACCUGAUUUGAGUUAAGAACGGCGUGAGCUAGUUCGGUUUCUAUCUUUUAUUAUAUUAAUUUUGUCCAUUUUUGUACGAAAGGACUUAGAAGGCAGACAUUGUUGGUGUGGUAUGAAUUUGCUGUAAUAGGAAAAAGUUAUAAAUUUAAGAUUGUUUUUGAUUA
rnacentral:rRNA from 1 species